AUGCCGGCGGCGACAGCGUGGCCCGCACAGAUCCGUGCGCCCAGCCCGGUGAGUGUGGGGGCAGGCGGUUCCCCGCCCGACCCGCGCUGGCGGGAUCGAGGGCCAGAGGGCGCCGCCGGGAAAGGUCACCUAGACCUGCAGCCGGCCUGGCCUUCACGCGGCGGCCCGUGCCCUUCCGCCCGCAGGUCCCCGAAGGAUCGAGUUCCAGCCGCAGGCGCCCCCGGAUGUCCGGCCUCCCGCUCCCGCGCCCCGGCCCGCUUGCCGCCCGCCUGUGCGGCCUGCUCUGCGCGGGGAGCUCCCGCUCGGCCCCUGGGGCCCGGUCCUCAACCCCUCGCCCACGCCCGCUCCUCCCCCCACCUCUUGCUCAGCUCCCCAGGGCAGGGCCCGCGACCCCAGGCGCCGGCAGAUCGCGGGCCCAUGUCCGCAUCGCCUACCUCGGGGGCGGUGGCGGCAGGCUCGGCGGCUGCUACCGCGGGGGCUGCAGCGCGAGGAACGGAGAGCAGCGGCGGGGCCGAGGGCGGGACAGCGCGGACGGCGGCGGCGCGGACCCGCCCCGACCCUGCGCGCCCGGCCUGGCGAGCUCCGCCCCUGGGCCCGCCCCGGACACCGCCCAGGCCUGGGCCCGGGUCCCCAACCAGCUCCCGGCCAGAACCAUUACCUUCCUGCGACCUCAGUGCCCACCGCGGACGCGUGUGCCCGCGGGCGUGUGCGGGCACGCGUGGGUGCUGCGUGCGCCCGGACACCGGGCCGGGGAGGCGUGGGGCUGACGUGUACAAGAUGUGUGCGUGCGCGGGGACACGCGUGCCAGCCGCCCACGGGAGCCAGUUUUGGCUGGAAACGCGCCAGGAUGAAGCCCGCGUUGGGGGGGGGGGGGCUUCCGGUUCUCUUAGCCGUGGCCCGGGGCCUCCUGCGCUAAUGGAAGACGCACGGGAUCCUGGGCCCCCAACCGGUUCUCGGGGCUGGGAGACAACGGCCCACCCCCAAGAGAUGAUGUGGCGUGCGGUGCCGGACCAGGACCUAGCCCGGUUCGACUAG
rnacentral:lncRNA from 1 species